UAAGCAUAUCAAUAAGCGGAGGAAAAGAAACUAACAAGGAUUCCCCUAGUAACUGCGAGUGAAGCGGGAAAAGCUCAAAUUUAAAAUCUGGCGGUCUUCGGCCGUCCGAGUUGUAGUCUGGAGAAGUGCUUUCCGCGCUGGACCGUGUACAAGUCUCUUGGAACAGAGCGUCAUAGAGGGUGAGAAUCCCGUCUUUGACACGGACUACCAGUGCUUUGUGAUGCGCUCUCAAAGAGUCGAGUUGUUUGGGAAUGCAGCUCAAAAUGGGUGGUAAAUUCCAUCUAAAGCUAAAUAUUGGCGAGAGACCGAUAGCGAACAAGUACCGUGAGGGAAAGAUGAAAAGCACUUUGGAAAGAGAGUUAAACAGUACGUGAAAUUGCUGAAAGGGAAACGAUUGAAGUCAGUCGCGUUGGCCAGGACUCAGCCUUGCUUUUUGCUCGGUGCAUUUUCUGGUUGACGGGCCAGCAUCGAUUUUGACCGUCGGAAAAAGGUUGGGGGAAUGUGGCACCUUCGGGUGUGUUAUAGCCCUCAGUCACAUACGGCGAUUGGGAUCGAGGACCGCAGCACGCCUUUAUGGCCGGGGUUCGCCCACGUUCGUGCUUAGGAUGCUGGCGUAAUGGCUUUAAACGACCCGUCUUGAAACACGGACCAAGGAGUCUAACAUGCCUGCGAGUGUUUGGGUGGAAAACCCGAGCGCGCAAUGAAAGUGAAAGUUGAGAUCCCURUCGYGGGGAGCAUCGACGCCCGGACUUGAACUUCGGUGAUAGAUCUGCGGUAGAGCAUGUAUGUUGGGACCCGAAAGAUGGUGAACUAUGCCUGAAUAGGGUGAAGCCAGAGGAAACUCUGGUGGAGGCUCGUAGCGAUUCUGACGUGCAAAUCGAUCGUCAAAUUUGGGUAUAGGGGCGAAAGACUAAUCGAACCAUCUAGUAGCUUGGUUCC
rnacentral:rRNA from 1 species